GAGGGGUGCGAGCGUUAUUCGGAUUUAUUGGGCGUAAAGGGUGCGUAGACGGCAAACUAAGUCUGUUGUUAAAUUUUCCGGCUUAACCGGAAGUCAGCGGUGGAAACUGGUUUGCUAGAGGAUGGAAGAGAGAAGUGGAAUUCCCGGAGUAGCGGUAAAAUGCGUAGAUCUCGGGAGGAACACCAAUGGCGAAGGCAGCUUCUUGGUCCAUUCCUGACGUUAAGGCACGAAAGCGUGGGUAGCAAACAGGAUUAGAUACCCUGGUAGUCCACGCCGUAAACGAUGAUCACUAGAUGUUGGUUCGGCUUAGCUGGAUCAGUAUCGUAGCUAACGCGUUAAGUGAUUCGCCUGGGGACUACGGUCGCAAGACUA
rnacentral:rRNA from 1 species